GACGAACGCUGGCGGCGUGCUUAACACAUGCAAGUCGAACGGAAAGGCCCUGCUUUUGUGGGGUGCUCGAGUGGCGAACGGGUGAGUAACACGUGAGUACCUGCCCUUGACUUUGGGAUAACUUCAGGAAACUGGGGCUAAUACCGGAUAGGAGCUCCUGCUGCAUGGUGGGGGUUGGAAAGUUUCGGCGGUUGGGGAUGGACUCGCGGCUUAUCCGCUUGUUGGUGGGGUAGUGGCUUACCAAGGCUUUGACGGGUAGCCGGCCUGAGAGGGUGACCGGCCACAUUGGGACUGAGAUACGGCCCAGACUCCUACGGGAGGCAGCAGUGGGGAAUAUUGCACAAUGGGCGGAAGCCUGAUGCAGCAACGCCGCGUGCGGGAUGACGGCCUUCGGGUUGUAAACCGCUUUCGCCUGUGACGAAGCGUGAGUGACGGUAAUGGGUAAAGAAGCACCGGCUAACUACGUG
rnacentral:rRNA from 1 species